rnacentral:rRNA from 1 species
CAGUCGCCGCGGGAACACAGAGGGUGCGAGCGUUAAUCGGAUUUACUGGGCGUAAAGCGUGCGUAGGCGGCUUUUUAAGUCGGAUGUGAAAUCCCUGAGCUUAACUUAGGAAUUGCAUUCGAUACUGGGAAGCUAGAGUAUGGGAGAGGAUGGUAGAAUUCCAGGUGUAGCGGUGAAAUGCGUAGAGAUCUGGAGGAAUACCGAUGGCGAAGGCAGCCAUCUGGCCUAAUACUGACGCUGAGGUACGAAAGCAUGGGGAGCAAACAGGAUUAGAGACCCCAGUAGUCCCUGUCUCUUAUAA